rnacentral:rRNA from 1 species
UACGAAGGGGCUAGCGUUGCUCGGAAUCACUGGGCGUAAAGCGCACGUAGGCGGAUUGUUAAGUCAGGGGUGAAAUCCUGGAGCUCAACUCCAGAACUGCCUUUGAUACUGGAGAUCUUGAGUUCGGGAGAGGUGAGUGGAACUGCGAGUGUAGAGGUGAAAUUCGUAGAUAUUCGCAAGAACACCAGUGGCGAAGGCGGCUCACUGG